rnacentral:lncRNA from 1 species
CUUUAAUCGAUUGGGUGGUAUCAAAAGCUGGAACGAGAACCUUACAUAUAUUUAAGAUCCUUUAAUAUUGAAUUAUUUUGAAAUAUAAUAAACCUGAGCAUGUAGGUUUAUAAUGUCAAUUAUUAAGCUAACAUGCUUUAUUUAUAAGAAAACCAAAAACCGUAACAGCUUUGUUUGAGGAGGUCAAAAGCAUAAUUAGUUUCGGGACGCAAAACAUUAUGGUGGAAAAUUAAAAGCUGAAUCAAUUCAGUUUACAUUAUUUAAAAAGAUUAACAGUAAACACUACCAGUUGCGCUUAUUCAUAACUACAGAUGUAAAUGGGUAUUUGGAUGGAGAGUUGGCUCAUUGGCACUCACACCACAUCUUCCUAUAUCUAUAUAAGCAUUGAAUUGGGUGUUGUUUAAAAUUCUAAUAUGACGUGC